AGUGAACGCUGGCGGUAGGCCUAACACAUGCAAGUCGAACGGCAGCACAGUAAGAGCUCGCCCCUACGGGUGGCGAGUGGCGGACGGGUGAGGCAUACAUCGGCAUCUACUUUUUCGUGGGUGACAUCGUAGGGCAACUUAUGCUAAUACCGCAUAUGUUCUACGGGUGAAAGCAGGAGUUCUUCAGACUUUUCGCGUCUCUAUUAGCCGAUGUCGGAUUAGCUAGUUGGCUGGGUAAAGGCCCACCUAGGCGACGAUCCGUAGCUGGUCUGAGAGGAUGAUCAGCCACACUGGAACUGAGACACGGUCCAGACUCCUACGGGAGGCAGCAGUAGGGAAUAUUGGGCAAAGGGCGCAAGCCUGAUCCAGCCAUGCCGCGUGGGUGAAGAAGGCCUUCGGGUUGUAAAGCCCUUUUGUUGGGAAAGAAAAGCAGCAGGUUAAUACCCCGCUGUUCUGACGGUACCCAAAGAGUAAGCACCGGCUAACUUCGUG
rnacentral:rRNA from 1 species